CUAGGGUCGUCUGGCCUUGGUGUUCGGGAAACCGGUGCAAGACCGGUGCGGCCCUCGCCACUGUGAUCGGGAAGUCCGGCUCCACUCUCCCCCGCGGGAAGCCACUGGGCCCGCGCGGGAUACCGCACGGGCCCGGGAAGGCGGAGCCAGGGCAUCAGUACCCGUGAGCCAGGAGACCGGCCGGGGCGCGUCGUCCAUC
rnacentral:ncRNA from 2 species